rnacentral:misc_RNA from 1 species
GGAUUAUUAAGACAGAACCUAUCUAUGGUGGCAAUUCUCCGUUUGCCUUUGGUCCUCAUGGCACUUACUUGGAGUCACGUUCUGCAAUGGGCGAUGCAUCUGUUUCAUCAUUUAGCAGUGUGGAGUCGAACACACAACCUCUUAAUGAACCUCUUCUGGAUGCUGACACUUCUUCGUUUGGAUUUCUAGGGGAGAUACCUCAAAAUUUUGGUUUCUCAGACUUGACUGCUGAUUUCACUAAUACUUCUGAUAUAUUAGGGAGCUACUCUAGGACUCCCUUUUUAGCAACAGAUACUGGCAACUUGCUCGAUUCAAACGGAGGCAUUGAGAGGUUAACCAAUCCCUCAGAGAACUUGAGAUACACUAAUUUCAGUGGAGAUUGAUCGUGUAUAGGUAGAUUCGAUCAAAACACAUACACGACGAUAGCUUUUGUAUAUUGCUGGCUGCUCAAGUGGUUUUAGGAUAUUUGGAUUUUCU